rnacentral:rRNA from 1 species
UACAGAGGGGGCAAGCGUUGUUCGGAAUUACUGGGCGUAAAGGGCGCGUAGGCGGCCUUCUAAGUCGAACGUGAAAUCCCAAGGCUUAACCUUGGAACUGCGUCGGAUACUGGAUGGCUUGAAUUCGGGAGAGGGAUGCAGAAUUCCAGGUGUAGCGGUGAAAUGCGUAGAUAUCUGGAGGAAUACCGGUGGCGAAGGCGGCAUCCUGGACCGACAUUGACGCUGAACGGCGAAAGCUAGGGGAGCAAACGGG